rnacentral:snRNA from 1 species
AUACUUUUCUCGGCCUUUUGGCUAAGAUGUGAGUGUAGUAUCUGUUUUUAUAAGUUUAAUAUCUUAUAUGUGGGCCAUCAACUCAAUGAUAUUAAAUUAAUUCAUUUUGGGGGAAGUCCCACCACAAUGGCCUGACAUUGGGCCCUCAAGUGUCGCUCAUGCGUUGCACUACUGCAUGAGCCUAGCGCACCUCCU